rnacentral:misc_RNA from 1 species
ACAAACUUGGUCAUUUAGAGGAAGUAAAAGUCGUAACAAGGUUUCCGUAGGUGAACCUGCGGAAGGAUCAUUACUGAAUUAACGAAGUUGUUGAUGCUGGCUCCUCGGAGCAUGUGCUCGCAGCUUCAAAUUCAACCUUUAACCAACUGUGCACUGUUUAACGGAUUGUAGUACCUCUCAACGAGCAAUCGUUGGAUAGAGGGCUUGCAUUGUCUCACGACGGUGCUUGCCUUCAAUUCUACAGUCCGUCUAUCUACCUAUACUAAGUCCUAGAACGUCCUUUUGUGGGUCUCUGACCUAUAAAAACUUAUACAACUUUCAACAACGGAUCUCUUGGCUCUCGCAUCGAUGAAGAACGCAGC